rnacentral:rRNA from 1 species
UACGGAGGGGGCUAGCGUUGUUCGGAAUUACUGGGCGUAAAGCGCGCGUAGGCGGACCUGCAAGUCGGGGGUGAAAGCCCGAGGCUCAACCUCGGAACUGCCUUCGAUACUGUCGGGCUAGAGUCCGGAAGAGGUGAGUGGAACUGCGAGUGUAGAGGUGAAAUUCGUAGAUAUUCGCAAGAACACCAGUGGCGAAGGCGGCUCACUGGUCCGGUACUGACGCUGAGGUGCGAAAGCGUGGGGAGCAAACAGG